GGGUCCAUAGUUCAGUGGUAGAGCAUUUGACUGCGGAUCAAGAGGUCGCUGGUUCGAAACCGGCUGUUACCU
rnacentral:tRNA from 1 species